UCAAAACUUUUCAGCUAGAGUAUGAUAGAGGAAAGCAGAAUUUCUAGUGUAGAGGUGAAAUUCGUAGAUAUUAGAAAGAAUACCAAUUGCGAAGGCAGCUUUCUGGAUCAUUACUGACACUGAGGAACGAAAGCAUGGUAGCGAAGAGGAUUAGAUACCCUCGUAGUCCAUGCCGUAAACGAUGUGUGUUAGACGUUGGAAAUUUAUUUUCAGUGUCGCAGCGAAAGCGAUAAACACACCGCCUGGGGAGUACGACCGCAAGGUUAAAACUCAAAUGAAUUGACGGGGACCCGCACAAGUAGUGGAGCAUGUGGUUUAAUUCGAAGAUACGCGCAGAACCUUACCAACACUUGACAUGUUCGUCGCGACUCUAAGAGAUUAGAGUUUUCGGUUCGGCCGGACGAAACACAGGUGCUGCAUGGCUGUCGUCAGCUCGUGUCGUGAGAUGUUGGGUUAAGUCCCGCAACGAGCGCAACCCUCACUUUUAGUUGCCAUCAUUAAGUUGGGCACUCUGAAAGAACUGCCAGUGAUAAGCUGGAGGAAGGUGGGGAUGACGUCAAGUCCUCAUGGCCCUUACGUGUUGGGCUACACACGUGCUACAAUGGUAUCUACAACAGGAAGCAAGACUGCGAGGUCAAGCAAAUCCUUAAAAGAUACCUCAGUUCGGAUUGCACUCUGCAACUCGAGUGCAUGAAGCUGGAAUUACUAGUAAUCGUGGAUCAGCGUGCCACGGUGAAUGCGUUCCCGGGUCUUGUACACACCGCCCGUCACACCAU
rnacentral:rRNA from 1 species